rnacentral:rRNA from 1 species
GGUUAAGCGACUAAGCGUACACGGUGGAUGCCCUGGCAGUCAGAGGCGAUGAAGGACGUGCUAAUCUGCGAAAAGCGUCGGUAAGGUGAUAUGAACCGUUAUAACCGGCGAUGUCCGAAUGGGGAAACCCAGUGCAAUUCGUUGCACUAUCGUUAACUGAAUACAUAGGUUAACGAGGCGAACCGGGGGAACUGAAACAUCUAAGUACCCCGAGGAAAAGAAAUCAACCGAGAUUCCCCCAGUAGCGGCGAGCGAACGGGGAGCAGCCCAGAGUCUGAAUCAGCUUGUGUGUUAGUGGAACGGUCUGGAAAGUCCGACGGUACAGGGUGAUAGUCCCGUACACCAAAAUGCACAGGUUGUGAACUCGAAGAGUAGGGCGGGACACGUGGUAUCCUGUCUGAAUAUGGGGGGACCAUCCUCCAAGGCUAAAUACUCCUGACUGACCGAUAGUGAACCAGUACCGUGAGGGAAAGGCGAAAAGAACCCCGGCGAGGGGAGUGAAAAAGAACCUGAAACCGUGUACGUACAAGCAGUGGGAGCACCUUCGGGUGUGACUGCGUACCUUUUGUAUAAUGGGUCAGCGACUUAUAUUCUGUAGCAAGGUUAACCGUAUAGGGGAGCCGCAGGGAAACCGAGUCUUAACUGGGCGUUAAGUUGCAGGGUAUAGACCCGAAACCCGGUGAUCUAGCCAUGGGCAGGUUGAAGGUUGGGUAACACUAACUGGAGGACCGAACCGACUAAUGUUGAAAAAUUAGCGGAUGACUUGUGGCUGGGGGUGAAAGGCCAAUCAAACCGGGAGAUAGCUGGUUCUCCCCGAAAGCUAUUUAGGUAGCGCCUCGUGAAUUCAUCUUCGGGGGUAGAGCACUGUUUCGGCUAGGGGGUCAUCCCGACUUACCAACCCGAUGCAAACUACGAAUACCGAAGAAUGUUAUCACGGGAGACACACGGCGGGUGCUAACGUCCGUCGUGAAGAGGGAAACAACCCAGACCGCCAGCUAAGGUCCCAAAGUCAUGGUUAAGUGGGAAACGAUGUGGGAAGGCACAGACAGCCAGGAUGUUGGCUUAGAAGCAGCCAUCAUUUAAAGAAAGCGUAAUAGCUCACUGGUCGAGUCGGCCUGCGCGGAAGAUGUAACGGGGCUAAACCAUGCACCGAAGCUGCGGCAGCGACACUAUGUGUUGUUGGGUAGGGGAGCGUUCUGUAAGCCUGCGAAGGUGUGCUGUGAGGCAUGCUGGAGGUAUCAGAAGUGCGAAUGCUGACAUAAGUAACGAUAAAGCGGGUGAAAAGCCCGCUCGCCGGAAGACCAAGGGUUCCUGUCCAACGUUAAUCGGGGCAGGGUGAGUCGACCCCUAAGGCGAGGCCGAAAGGCGUAGUCGAUGGGAAACAGGUUAAUAUUCCUGUACUUGGUGUUACUGCGAAGGGGGGACGGAGAAGGCUAUGUUAGCCGGGCGACGGUUGUCCCGGUUUAAGCAUGUAGGCUGAUUGUCCAGGCAAAUCCGGAUAAUCAAGGCUGAGGUGUGAUGACGAGGCACUACGGUGCUGAAGUAACAAAUGCCCUGCUUCCAGGAAAAGCCUCUAAGCAUCAGGUAACAUUAAAUCGUACCCCAAACCGACACAGGUGGUCAGGUAGAGAAUACCAAGGCGCUUGAGAGAACUCGGGUGAAGGAACUAGGCAAAAUGGUGCCGUAACUUCGGGAGAAGGCACGCUGGUGUGUAGGUGAAGUCCCUGCGGAUGGAGCUGAGACCAGUCGAAGAUACCAGCUGGCUGCAACUGUUUAUUAAAAACACAGCACUGUGCAAACACGAAAGUGGACGUAUACGGUGUGACGCCUGCCCGGUGCCGGAAGGUUAAUUGAUGGGGUUAUCCGUAAGGAGAAGCUCUUGAUCGAAGCCCCGGUAAACGGCGGCCGUAACUAUAACGGUCCUAAGGUAGCGAAAUUCCUUGUCGGGUAAGUUCCGACCUGCACGAAUGGCGUAAUGAUGGCCAGGCUGUCUCCACCCGAGACUCAGUGAAAUUGAACUCGCUGUGAAGAUGCAGUGUACCCGCGGCAAGACGGAAAGACCCCGUGAACCUUUACUAUAGCUUGACACUGAACAUUGAGCCUUGAUGUGUAGGAUAGGUGGGAGGCUUUGAAGCGUGGACGCCAGUCUGCGUGGAGCCAACCUUGAAAUACCACCCUUUAAUGUUUGAUGUUCUAACGUUGGCCCCUUACCGGGGUUGCGGACAGUGUCUGGUGGGUAGUUUGACUGGGGCGGUCUCCUCCCAAAGCGUAACGGAGGAGCACGAAGGUUAGCUAAUCCUGGUCGGACAUCAGGAGGUUAGUGCAAUGGCAUAAGCUAGCUUGACUGCGAGCGUGACGGCGCGAGCAGGUGCGAAAGCAGGUCAUAGUGAUCCGGUGGUUCUGAAUGGAAGGGCCAUCGCUCAACGGAUAAAAGGUACUCCGGGGAUAACAGGCUGAUACCGCCCAAGAGUUCAUAUCGACGGCGGUGUUUGGCACCUCGAUGUCGGCUCAUCACAUCCUGGGGCUGAAGUAGGUCCCAAGGGUAUGGCUGUUCGCCAUUUAAAGUGGUACGCGAGCUGGGUUUAGAACGUCGUGAGACAGUUCGGUCCCUAUCUGCCGUGGGCGCUGGAGAAUUGAGGGGGGCUGCUCCUAGUACGAGAGGACCGGAGUGGACGCAUCACUGGUGUUCGGGUUGUCAUGCCAAUGGCACUGCCCGGUAGCUAAAUGCGGAAGAGAUAAGUGCUGAAAGCAUCUAAGCACGAAACUUGCCCCGAGAUGAGUUCUCCCUGAGACUUUAAGUCUCCUGAAGGAACGUUGAAGACGACGACGUUGAUAGGCCGGGUGUGUAAGCGCAGCGAUGCGUUGAGCUAACCGGUACUAAUGAACCGUGAGGCUUAACCUU